rnacentral:sRNA from 1 species
GCCUUCAUUGUCAGAACGCCUAUAUCGCGAACAGGGUAUUAAUACGAAGGAUUUAUUAGGGCACAAAACGCAACAACAGACCGAUAAAUAUCACGAUGACCGCGGUAAAGAUUGGAUAAAAAUUGUGAUCUAAAAUACCUGAGUUUUGAUAAAUUGUUUUGAUAACUUUUUGAUAACCGUUACUCACGUUAUAAUAAAACAACGGGAACCAUUAAGCCCCCGUUAUCUAUUUC